GAUGAACGCUGGCGGCGUGCCUAAUACAUGCAAGUCGAGCGAACAGACGAGGAGCUUGCUCCUCUGACGUUAGCGGCGGACGGGUGAGUAACACGUGGAUAACCUACCUAUAAGACUGGGAUAACUUCGGGAAACCGGAUCUAAUACCGGAUAAUAUAUUGAACCGCAUGGUUCAAUAGUGAAAGACGGUUUUGCUGUCACUUAUAGAUGGAUCCGCGCCGCAUUAGCUAGUUGGUAAGGUAACGGCUUACCAAGGCAACGAUGCGUAGCCGACCUGAGAGGGUGAUCGGCCACACUGGAACUGAGACACGGUCCAGACGACUACGGGAGGCAGCAGUAGGGAAUCUUCCGCAAUGGGCGAAAGCCUGACGGAGCAACGCCGCGUGAGUGAUGAAGGUCUUCGGAUCGUAAAACUCUGUUAUUAGGGAAGAACAAAUGUGUAAGUAACUAUGCACGUCUUGACGGUACCUAAUCAGAAAGCCACGGCUAACUACGUG
rnacentral:rRNA from 1 species